AUUGAACGAUGGCGGCAGGCUUAACACAUGCAAGUCGAACGAGUGGCGGACGGGUGAGUAAUGCUUGGGAAUCCAGCUGAUAGAGGGGGAUAACUACGGGAAACUGUAGCUAAUACCGCGUACUAUAGGAUGAGCCCAUGUGGGAUUAGGUAGUUGGUGAGGUAAAGGCUCACCAAGCAGACGAUCUCUAGCUGGUCUGAGAGGAUGACCAGCCACACUGGGACUGAGAAACGGCCCAGACUCCUACGGGAGGCAGCAGUGGGGAAUAUUUCGCAAUGGGGGCAACCUGACGAAUCCAUGCCGCGUGAAUGAAGAACGCCUUCGGGUUGUAAAGUUCUUUCGGUAGCGAGGCGUUACCUGCAGAAGAAGCACCGGCUAACUCCGUGCCAGCAGCCGCGGUAAUAC
rnacentral:rRNA from 1 species